rnacentral:rRNA from 1 species
UACGUAGGGUGCAAGCGUUGUCCGGAAUUACUGGGCGUAAAGCGUGCGCAGGCGGUUUUGUAAGUCUGACGUGAAAUCCCCGGGCUCAACCUGGGAAUUGCGUUGGAGACUGCAAGGCUAGAAUCUGGCAGAGGGGGGUAGAAUUCCACGUGUAGCAGUGAAAUGCGUAGAGAUGUGGAGGAACACCGAUGGCGAAGGCAGCCCCCUGGGUCAAGAUUGACGCUCAUGCACGAAAGCGUGGGGAGCAAACAGG